AAAGAUAAUUAAGUUUUGUCGAGGGAAGUCGAUUGCUGUAGAUCAGACAUAUCAGCGGUUUUAAAAGAUAGAAGAAGAAGUUGUGUCAUGAAGUCGUCCAGACCUCUCUUCGUUUUCCUGUUCAUCUUACUCCUCUGUAAUUUAAUUAUGACAAUCAACUCCGAAAGCAAUAAACCUUUUCGAUUUCACUCCCGUCGUUGGAUUCUGCGAAGAAAUAAACAAAAAAAGCCAGAUACCAAGAGCAAUGGGAAAAGAUAUGUGGGGUCGCUGUCAGAAGACACAAGGAUGGAAACGACAACAAGGGAUUCACCGAAUGUAUCAGAGUUAACGGACGUUGUUUUUAUUUGAAGAAAGACAUAGUCAGGAGAGGAAGGAUGACAAACUAUAGAAUAUGUUAAAACAUAGGAAUACUAAUUUACUUGCAAAUCAGUGAACAUUUUAAUAUGAUUGUUCAUUUUAUCGAUGCCCUAAUUAUAUGUCGCUAAAACUUCGCUACUUGAAGAGAACGCGGCCACUGAUUUGUUAUCUUAAAUGAGGGAGUCAUAAACAAGCCACGGUACGCUACAAAUGUAAGGGCUAGUAUUUGCCUAAAAAUUCAGCAUUGGAGCUAUUGAUAAUUUCUUAAACGCGUAGUAGAGAAGAAGUUGUAAGUGCUUCAUGGGGACCGUCUUGAUAAAGUAUACCUAAGUGCUACAAAUAAAAAUUUAAGUCUUUGGAAAAGUUA